rnacentral:rRNA from 1 species
CACGUAGGCGGAUCUUUAAGUCAGGGGUGAAAUCCUGGAGCUCAACUCCAGAACUGCCUUUGAUACUGAGGAUCUCGAGUCCGGAAGAGGUGAGUGGAACUCCGAGUGUAGAGGUGAAAUUCGUAGAUAUUCGGAAGAACACCAGUGGCGAAGGCGGCUCACUGGUCCGGUACUGACGCUGAGGUGCGAAAGCGUGGGGAGCAAACA